ACAACACCAUGUGCCGCAUGUACUACCAGCACGACGACGAUGCCAGUAAGCUAUCUGCCUCUCUUCUUCCUGUCCUUUUGGUUUCCUCUACCUGCACGACGACAACACCAUGUUCACACUUUGUUGCAUUUGGCCAGGCAAUGGGAGCAGCAGCGGGGAUGACGAGGAGUAGAGCGGGGAUGACGACGAGGAGCAGAGCGGGGAUGACGAGGAGCAGCCUAUUCUGGCUGACGACAAACAUGCUAUGGUGGUGGCUGACGACGACCUUCUAUGGUGGUGGCGGAUGACAACCUUGCUAUGGUGGUGGCGGACGACGACCUUGCUAUGGUGGUGGCGGACGACGACCUUGCUAUGGUGGUGGCGGACGACGACCUCGCGAUGGUGGCGGCGCCUGCAAUCCCACAGCUUGGCGACAGGACCAUGCCAAU
rnacentral:lncRNA from 1 species